UACAGAGGUCCCGAGCGUUGUUCGGAUUCAUUGGGCGUAAAGGGUGCGUAGGCCGCAGGGUAAGUCGGGUGUGAAAUCUGGGGGCUCAACCCCCAAUGGGCACUCGGUACUGCCGCUGCUAGAGGGCUGGAGAGGAGAUCGGAAUUCACGGUGUAGCAGUGAAAUGCGUAGAGAUCGUGAGGAAGACCGGUGGCGAAGGCGGAUCUCUGGACAGUGCCUGACGCUGAGGCGCGAAGGCUAGGGGAGCAAACGGG
rnacentral:rRNA from 1 species